rnacentral:piRNA from 1 species
UUCACUGUGUCUUUCGAGUUCAUGUGUUCU